rnacentral:rRNA from 1 species
UACGAAGGGGGCUAGCGUUGCUCGGAAUCACUGGGCGUAAAGCGCACGUAGGCGGCUUCUUAAGUCAGGGGUGAAAUCCUGGAGCUCAACUCCAGAACUGCCUUCGAUACUGGCGAGCUUGAGUCCGGAAGAGGUGAGUGGAACUCCGAGUGUAGAGGUGAAAUUCGUAGAUAUUCGGAAGAACACCAGUGGCGAAGGCGGCUCACUGGUCCGGUACUGACGCUGAUGUGCGAAAGCGUGGGGAGCAAACAGG